GACGAACGCCGGCGGCGUGCUUAACACAUGCAAGUCGAGCGAUGAAGUUUCUUCGGAAAUGGAUUAGCGGCGAACGGGUGAGGAACACGUGAAGAAUCUGCCCUCCACUUUGGGAUAACACAGGGAAACCUGUGCUAAUACCGAAUAUUGAAACAUAAGUGGCAUCACUGAGUUUUGAAAGAAUUUCGGUGGAGGAUGACUUCGCGGCCCAUCAGCUAGUUGGUGAGGUAAUGGCUCACCAAGGCAACGACGGGUAGCCGGCCUGAGAGGGCGACCGGCCACACUGGGACUGAGACACGGCCCAGACUCCUACGGGAGGCAGCAGUGGGGAAUAUUGGGCAAUGGAGGAAACUCUGACCCAGCGACGCCGCGUGCGGGAUGAAGGCCUUCGGGUUGUAAACCGCUUUCAGUAGGGAAGAAGCGAAAGUGACGGUACCUACAAAAGAAGCACCGGCUAACUAUGUGCCAGCCGCCGCGGUAA
rnacentral:rRNA from 1 species